UAAUAGCAAACAUACUACAGACACGCAAGCAUCGUGUAGUUUUCGUGACCCCAACAACCUCAUACGAGGUGCACCUGAGCAGGGAGCAAGCAUUGCAAGGACUUGAAAUCGAGGAACCAAUUGUUGCUGAUGUUGUACAGAAGCACACUGAAUUUAUUAGCACGGCUUCAAGUCGACAAUGACCAUUGUCUAUGCGACAGAGACGUCAUAUACAAGUUGAUUGUCGCGUGACCACACCACAUUUUUGCCGUUUAUUGAAUCCAGGACCAGGCAUUGGGCGUAAAUACUAAACACUUAUAGUUAUGUACAGCUUUAGUAUCUAUUUUUGUUCUUAUUAUUUUUUUGUGUCCUAACUAUAAGCCAAUAGAAGCCAUAAGCUAUAGAAAUGUGUAAGUUAAUUGAAAGCUACACACCUUCAGAAUAAAUAUUAUUUGCAAUAUUCAUUAAAGUC